rnacentral:tRNA from 1 species
GGCGCCGUAGCCAAGCGGUAAGGCAGGGGCCUGCAAAGCCCUCAUCACCGGUUCGAUUCCGGUCGGCGCCUCCA